GCCAACUGGGAUAGUUCAGCUGGUAGAGCAUGAGACUCUUAAGCUCAGGGCUGUGGCCUCAAGCCCCACACUGGGCA